AUUGAACGCUGGCGGCAGGCUUAACACAUGCAAGUCGAGCGGGGGAAGGUAGCUUGCUACUGGACCUAGCGGCGGACGGGUGAGUAAUGCUUAGGAAUCUGCCUAUUAGUGGGGGACAACAUCUCGAAAGGGAUGCUAAUACCGCAUACGUCCUACGGGAGAAAGCAGGGGAUCUUCGGACCUUGCCCUAAUAGAUGAGCCUAAGUCGGAUUAGCUAGUUGGUGGGGUAAAGGCCUACCAAGGCGACGAUCUGUAGCGGGUCUGAGAGGCUGAUCCGCCACACUGGGACUGAGACACGGCCCAGACUCCUACGGGAGGCAGCAGUGGGGAAUAUUGGACAAUGGGGGGAACCCUGAUCCAGCCAUGCCGCGUGUGUGAAGAAGGCCUUAUGGUUGUAAAGCACUUUAAGCGAGGAGGAGGCUACUUUAGUUAAUACCUAGAGAUAGUGGACGUUACUCGCAGAAUAAGCACCGGCUAACUCUGUGCCAGCAGCCGCGGUAA
rnacentral:rRNA from 1 species